rnacentral:rRNA from 1 species
ACGAACGCUGGCGGCAUGCCUAACACAUGCCAGUCGCACGAGACCUUCGAGUCUAGUGGCGCACGGGUGCGUAACGCGUGGGAACCUGCCCUUAGGUUCGGAAUAACUCCCCGAAAGGGGUGCUAAUACCGGCUAAUGUCUUCGGACCAAAGCUGUAUCGCCUUUGGAUGGGCGCGCGUUGGAUUAGCUAGUUGGUAGGGUAAAAGCCUACCAAGGCGACGUUGCAUAGCUGGUCUGAGAGGAUGAUCAGCCACACUGGGACUGAGACACGGCCCAGACUCCUACGGGAGGCAGCAGUGGGGAAUAUUGGACACUGGGCGAAAGACUGAUCCAGCAAUGCCGCGUGAGUGAUGAAGGCCUUAGGGUUGUAAAGCUCUUUUACCCGGGAUGAUAAUGACAGUACCGGGAGAAUAAGCGCCGGCUAACUCCGUG